rnacentral:rRNA from 1 species
GACGAACGCUGGCGGCGUGCCUAAUACAUGCAAGUUGAGCGCUGAAGGUUGGUACUUGUACCAACUGGAUUAGCAGCGAACGGGUGAGUAACGCGUGGGGAAUCUGCCUUUGAGCGGGGGACAACAUUUGGAAACGAAUGCUAAUACCGCAUAAAAACUUUAAACACAAGUUUUAAGUUUGAAAGAUGCAAUUGCAUCACUCAAAGAUGAUCCCGCGUUGUAUUAGCUAGUUGGUGAGGUAAAGGCUCACCAAGGCGAAGAUACAUAGCCGACCUGAGAGGGUGAUCGGCCAAAUUGGGACUGAGACAACGCCCCAAAUCCUACGGGAGGCAGCAGUAGGGAAUCUUCGGCAAUGGACGAAAGUCUGACCGAGCAACGCCGCGUGAGGGAAGAAGGUUUUCGGAUCGUAAAACUCUGUUGGUAGAGAAGAACGUUGGUGAGAGUGGAGGGCUCAUCAAGUGACGGUAACUACCCAGAAAGGGACGGCUAACUACGUG